ACUGGGAGUUCAAACAGGAUAAGAGUAUUUCGUCGUCUAUUUUGUCAGCUCCCCGAUCGCAUUGACAAAACUUCCCGUGCUUUUAGAAGAGAAUCUUAUGACGAAUGCAUUAGUAAAUCGAGAUUUGUUUUUUAAUCUGCAAUAAUACGAGUAUUAUAAUAGCUAGUGUUGUGGAUUGGGUAGCCUUCACAUGCGCAUUCUGUCAAAGAAACCAGGCGGCGAAGUUGAUGAAGCGGAACACUUAAGCAAAGACUAUCGAAAUCAUGGAAGUUCCAGCUUUUAUAGACGAUUUGGGAGCUGGGAAUGAUUAUAACGAAGCCGAGAACCACAGCAGUCAAUACUUUUCACGGCCCAUGUUAAAUUUCGAGAAUUACAAUGAUAAUUCUGUGCUGGGACAAGAAAGCAAUCAGGCGGAAACAAAUCUGUUGGCUCUGACAUCUAAGCUUUCUUGCCUUGGUCAGAAAGCCCAGCAGCUGGAGCAAUUUUUUCGAAGUCAAUUGGUGUGCUCAUCAGGCAAAGAUGAGCAUCAGGAACAAGCGAAAUCAGCCUUGAAUUCGAUCCUGGGAGAGGUAAUUCUCACAUCUACUUCCAUUUUGUCUCAAUGUCAAAGCUUAAUUAAUUCACAGAGGCCACCGCAGAAAGAGGAUAAUGGGAAAGUAGAAAUUAUAGAGAUCAACGAAGAGGAUAUUCUGGCAGAGCAUACCCAUUUCUGCAAGAUCUGUGGGAAAGGGUUUAGGCGAGAUGGGAAUGUGCGCAUUCAUAUGCGAUCCCACGGCAAUCAAUAUAAAACCCAGGAGGCCCUCAUGUCCGGCAAGCCCAAGGCAAGCAAAUCAUAUUACUCAUGCCCCUUUGAAGACUGCAGGCGGAACAGGCGUCAUCCCAAUUUCAAACCCUUGAAAUCCAUGCCCUGUCUGAGGAACCAUCACAGAAGAAGCCACUGCGCUAAGAUGUAUACCUGCAACAAAUGCGGAAAAGAGUUUUCUUUUGUGGGCGAUCUCAAAACCCACGGAAACAAGUGCGGACACACUACCUGGCGCUGCUCCUGCAACACCACGUUUGCUAGCAAGGAUAAGCUGUUUCGCCAUGUCGCCUUGUUUCAGGAAGGGCACAAGCCUGUGCUUCCCUCACACACCCCUUCUGCUGCUGCUUCUCUCAAUAGGGAAAAGCCCACAAGAAAUGAAAAAAACCCGGUUUGUUGUGCCCAAGAUGCUGAUGAUCUAGCAACAGAGGGUCCAUCCACUAUAGCAGAAGGCCUGCCUAGUUAUGGCAAUGAUGCAGGUUUAUUUAUGUUGGACACAGGCUCAGUUGGGAUUCAACACACUGAAUACAUGGGCCAGGAGAAUGAAAUUGCUUUCUUCAAUGAGGAUAGAGAAGAGAAUGAAUUGUAUGGAUCUCUCUUUUGGUCACAUGCAGAUCUGCCCUGGCCUGAACAAUUGUAGGUGUAUUUUUUUUCUCAAUAAUUUAGGCCGAUCAAUUUAUUUUUGUAUAUGUUACAUACUUUUUGUAAGUUAAAAUUUUCUGUAUCAGCUAUUUUGUCUGUCAAAAUGUUAAGUCUAAGUUCUGCCCAAAUUGCAAUUUUGUUUAUAUUGCAAAACAUAUCAAUAUUGUAGAAGGGGGUUUGGUAUGGUGGUUCUUACAAAAGGCCUUUUAAGAAUCUAAUCAGAAAUCCCCUAACAUGUUAAUUAUUAAGUAAGAAAAACUGCACAGUCCACCAUUUCCUUAGCAGAUACCGCAGAUAUAUGAUUUGUUCAUUUAUAUAGUCCCAACUCUCAAUAUCGGGUUUCACUUUGUUAAGGUUUAAAAAGGAAUUAUGAACAGAAAUCGACCACAUAGAUCUCCAUUUGGCAAAACUGAGGAUGCACAUCUAUCAGGGCUUUCGAGUCAGCAACCAAAAUCUGGUUUCUUGGAUUUUUUCUGUGCAUGCUAUUCACUGUUUCAAAGCUCCCCCACCUUACGAUUUCCUUGGAGGAUGAUCCAUAUUUGGCAUUAUACCAGGCAUUUGCUUUUUGUUUUUUUAACUUGCCAAGGAUUUGUCAAGAAGUUCAUUUGUAUGAGACCACGCUAUCUUUGAGGCGCUCAUUUCUGAAAGAUGUGAGCCUUAACAAUAAGAUUAUAUUGUGCACAUCCUAUAGCCAUUGCAUUCUUUACUGGCAGGUUUGUGUUAUGCUCUUUGUCGAACAAUCCAUCUUCCACAUGCGUCCAUAUGUAGACAUGUUAAUCAGGACAACGCAAAUAUCUACCUUAAGCAUAACAUCACACAACAAUCUAACUUGAAGAACAAUUUUUAUAGUUAUCCAUAUCCUGUUCCUAAGUACCCUGUGGCACAUGCUAGAAGGAUAUCACGAUUUGUUGAAUUUUUCUUAACAUCUGCCAAUCUUUUUUUAUUAGUUUGCUUGCCCAUAGGAUGUAAUGAAAUGCCAUCCAGAAAGGUUUCUUUUCCAUCGGACACCACUUAAUUUAAGACAUGCGUACGCACCCCACAUAGCAUCCACCAGUAUUAGAAAAUCCCUCCUUAUAUGGGUAAGGACAGAAAGCACCUUGGCAUGUGUAUAAAUGGACAAAGAACUCUCAUCCCUCUGAACCACUCAAACUUAGAUGGUACAAUCAAGGGUAAACUUUUUGCAUCCUAUCCUUCAAUAGUAUCAAAUAAAUGCCAAUGAAUUUGUGUGCCCUAGACUUUUGCAGCUUCUCUCUGGCUACCCAGGAAUCCUUAAGAAGGAAGUUUCACCAUCAGAUUGUAGGGGGAAUGCAAAGGAAAUUAAGCUUAACUUGUAUAGUCAACACCAAAACCCUCUAACCAUUUCAUACUUCUAGAAUAUGUUCUCUGUUUCCUCUUUCUACAAAGAGCCUCAACCCUGCUUUCACAGUUAAAUCCUGGUAGAAUAUAUGGGGUCAAUUGUCUCCUUUUUCUGCAUAGACAUUCAACCAUGCUUUCAUGGUUAAACCUUGAUGUUACUGCUGAGGAAUCCCUGAUACCUUUUUCUUGCACUUAACCCACUUUGUCUACCUAUAAUUGCAGAUAAGGAAUUUACAGGCCAUCUUUGCCUUUCUAACAGAUUCCCUACAUCCAUCUUCAACCGAUCAACUCACAAACCAAUUCCAUUGACUCUCUUGUAUUGGGUCAAGUAAAUCGAAAUGAUUCAGAGUAUAUAAAAUUAUAAUUUCGUUGCAAUAUCAAAGCUUAAGUAAUCCACAGGAGCCACCAAAGGAAGAGGGAGAAGAGAGAGUAGGAAUUAGAUGAUAUUUUGUUAGGACGUACCUAUUUCUGUAAGAUCUGUGGGAAAGGCUUCAGGUGGGGUGGGAAUGUCUGCAUUCAUAUGGGAUCCCGUGGCAACCAAUAUAAAACUCAGGAGGUUCUCAUGUCGAGCAGGCCCAAGGCAAGCAAAUCAUAUUAUCAAUGCCCCUUUGAAGAGUGCAGGCAGAACAGGCGUCAUCUUAAUUUCAAGCCCUUGAAAUCCGUAGCCUGCUUGAGGAAUCAUUAUUGAAGAAGACACUGUACUAACAUGUCGCAGAAAGGAGUUUUCUUUUGUGUGUAAUCCUCAAAUCCAUAGGAACAAGUGCAAAGACACUACCUGCUCCAUAUAGAAAUUUCAAAGGCAACAAAGUGUACAAGGCAGGAUUUUGUAGGUUCUUCCCUAAUCCUAAUUCGCAGGACACCCUUAUAGUCGAAACAUUGAAGCUCUUCAUGACAAGUUCAAGAAGGAUGCUCAUAAUCAGUGAUACUUCCAUCAGUGGUACUUCCAUGACCAAGCAUUCCAACAGUUGCAGCUUCUUGUGAUCAAUGUUUUAUUUCAAGUUGCUAGUUCAUCUGCAUCUAAGAGGAAUAGGAGCGCCCAAUCCUCCAUCCAUUCAAUAGAGCACAACUGACUACAUUCAAAAAAGGCAAAGGACUUAGUCUAAGUGUAUUUCAACUUGUGCCUCUUUUUGCACAAACCAAUUGACUACAAAAAAAGGGAGAGUAUAUUGACUUGGAUGCUUCUACUUCCCAACAUGCUAGACUUGAGGAGUCAGAUAGCAAGCAUGCGAGUGUCAGUGCAUUACUUGUAGUUCUUCUAAUUAUGUUUACAGACAUUCUACAAUGGCAGUAGAACACGGAGUCUCAUAUCA